UACGUAGGGCGCAAGCGUUGUCCGGAAUUAUUGGGCGUAAAGAGCGUGUAGGCGGCCAGGUAGGUCUGGUGUGAAAACUCGAGGCUUAACCUCGAGAUGUCAUCGGAAACCAUCUGGCUAGAGUCCGGAAGAGGAGAGUGGAAUUCCUGGUGUAGCGGUGAAAUGCGCAGAUAUCAGGAGGAACACCGGUGGCGAAGGCGGGACUCUGGGCCGAUACUGACGCUGAGGAGCGAAAGCGUGGGGAGCAAACAGG
rnacentral:rRNA from 1 species